UAGCUCAGCUGGGAGAGCGCCUGCUUUGCACGCAGGAGGUCAGCGGUUCGAUCCCGCA
rnacentral:tRNA from 1 species